GGGCUAGGGUUUUGCUGGCCUAGGGUUAGCAGGAGGGGCGCGGAGCAGCUUAUAAAGGCGGCAUGGAGGCGUGGCUGUCGCUGUCGAAGAGGACGUGGCUGGGGGGCUCACCGGUCGGGAGGGAGAAAAGGUGAGGAAGACGGGCGUGUGAGAGGUGGCGUAUUUCGUAGAAUGCGUUUUCGCUGCAGGGAAACGGCACGCGGGCGCUAUGCGAAGGAAGCUAGGCCAAGGGUGCGGGCGGGCCGUGCGCGCGAGGAGAAAGGCCGGGCCGCGCUGCGGGGCUGCGCGGCACGCGGGGAAGGCGGGCCGAGGCGGCGGGGCCGGCUCGGGCCAAGUGAGCAGGUAAGGUUUUGUUUUUCUUUUUCCCUUUUCUAUUUUCUGUUUUUGCAAAUGCUUUUGGACUCAAAUUUCAAAUACCAUUUUGAAAAGCUGAGAAGUAGUAGAAUUCAAAUAUGGUACUAGUAUUUGGAAAUAUUCAAAUGGGGUUUAAGGUUUAAAAUAAAACCCAUUUGAAUCUCAUUUGAAAAAUAUAGGG
rnacentral:lncRNA from 1 species